CCUACGGGAGGCAGCAGUGGGGAAUAUUGGACAAUGGGCGAAAGCCUGAUCCAGCAAUGCCGCGUGAGUGAUGAAGGCCUUAGGGUUGUAAAGCUCUUUUACCAGGGAUGAUAAUGACAGUACCUGGAGAAUAAGCUCCGGCUAACUCCGUGCCAGCAGCCGCGGUAAUACGGAGGGAGCUAGCGUUGUUCGGAAUUACUGGGCGUAAAGCGUACGUAGGCGGUUAUUCAAGUCAGAGGUGAAAGCCUGGAGCUCAACUCCAGAACUGCCUUUGAAACUAGAUAGCUAGAAUCUUGGAGAGGUGAGUGGAAUUCCGAGUGUAGAGGUGAAAUUCGUAGAUAUUCGGAAGAACACCAGUGGCGAAGGCGACUCACUGGACAAGUAUUGACGCUGAGGUACGAAAGCGUGGGGAGCAAACAGGAUUAGAUACCCUGGUAGUCCACGCCGUAAACGAUGAUAACUAGCUGUUCGGGCUCUACGAGCUUGAGUGGCGCAGCUAACGCAUUAAGUUAUCCGCCUGGGGAGUACGGUCGCAAGAUUAAAACUCAAAUGAAUUGACCGGNUGAGAGNGCGAGACGACGACGAGGGAGAGG
rnacentral:rRNA from 1 species